rnacentral:lncRNA from 1 species
GGUAAUAUAUAUUAUCUUACUAUAGUUCUUUGAUAAUCGAAUUAUAUAAUAAAAUGAGCUGAUUCAGAUCAUUUAUUUUUAAAUAAACUUUUCAGCUACAUGUCACUAUAGAUUCCCACCUUCAGGCCCUUGUAAGCAUGAUGCCGGCUGCAAGAACGUGUGCACACAGCCUCCUGAAGAUCCAAAUUAUCUAGCGUGCAUUACUUCUGCCCCAAUGUUUGGCAAAUGUUGUUGUUUAGUAAGACCAUAGGUUGUCUAAUGAUACAUAAAUAUAUUUGUGUAAUGAUUGAAGUGGGAAGUACUACAAUAAAGUCAUGCGUAAAGCAUGGUUAAUGAGAUUGAUCUCUAAUUACCAUUAAGUUAUUGCUGAGAUAACAUGUUUCUUGAAUAUGGAUCCUUUCUAGUUUCUAUAUAUUGAAACUGGUUUGUCAUUCAUCACUUGUAUAUAUAUAUGCUGGUGGUGAUGCUCCUCUGGUGCUCGUCAAUGGAGUCGUGGCUACAGAAAACAUGAAUCGCCAUAUCGCCAUUUUCGUCCAUUUUUUUUUCAGGUGUAGACACAACAAAAGAGGAACUGGUGCGGGUUCUGUCUGCCCCGCAAGACCCGCAAUGACCCAAACCGCAAAGGCCCAACCCGCAUGAGACUUAACCCGCGAGAACCGCUCACAAAUGGGCCUACAUUAUCUCAACCCAAACCCGCCCCGCAUGGAUCUUGUACGGGCCAGACCCGCGGGCUGCGGUCCAAUUGCCAUUCCUAGUUUCACCGGAUCCUUUACUCUAAUUUUGGAAUUUGUGUUAAGUUUGGAAUUUUUUUUUUUUGCUGAGAAUAUAAAUAAUGCAAGAUUUGCAUACAAUAUUGCAAUUAGAUUCUGAAGAUAUAUGUACAUAUAUUAUUUCUUUGUUAAUUAAUUAAAUUAGGAAUGAAUGUUCAAAUCUACUCCAGAGAGAAUAUUAUAUAAUGAAUGCAAGAUUUGCACACAUUAUUGCAAUUGGAUUCUUUAGAUAUAUGUAAAUAUAUUCUUUCUUUGUUUGAAACUAAUUAGUAACGUAUGUACUUAAAAAAAACGUAUAUACAAUUUACGCAAGUAUUUAAAGGGAGAUGAUUAUUUGCUCUAAACCCAAAAGAAAAACAUCUCCACAAAAGAAAAGAGAUACCAAGAAACAAUGUCAGCACAGAAGAUUCAACUUGCUUGUUUGAUCCUAGCUUUUUUUCUUCUCUUUUCUCAAUCAACUGGUAAUAUAUAUUAUCUUACUAUAGUUCUUUGAUAAUCGAAUUAUAUAAUAAAAUGAGCUGAUUCAGAUCAUUUAUUUUUAAAUAAACUUUUCAGCUACAUGUCACUAUAGAUUCCCACCUUCAGGCCCUUGUAAGCAUGAUGCCGGCUGCAAGAACGUGUGCACACAGCCUCCUGAAGAUCCAAAUUAUCUAGCGUGCAUUACUUCUGCCCCAAUGUUUGGCAAAUGUUGUUGUUUAGUAAGA